rnacentral:lncRNA from 1 species
CUCAUCUACAGACGGUUCCGUCAUAAGGCCAAAAAUGAUUGGAUUCAAAGGAUCUGAAAGAUUGGUCCAGCCCUUUCUUUAUUCUGAUUAGAAACAGUCCCAGAGGUGACGUGAUUUGCCCAAAGUAGCGCAACUUCCUGGAACGAGAAACCAAUCCUAAGAUUUCCAUGUCGGCGUUCUUUCCGCGGUGAUCGGGUUACCUCCCAGACAUAGGAUUUACUUUUGAAAGAAAAGGAGCGGUCACACGGGAGAGGCAUUGAAGGAAAAAUUAUUUGAAUUUGGCAACUGCUUGUGGUGGGGGGAUGAGAGGUGGAGGGUGAUAAAGCGCCCCCUCACACUCACACACAAAUAAUGUGAACAAUUUUAAAUUGCUUUACUUUAGGAGAUCAUGGAUUUUCCAGGGGGGCUGAGAACUUACCUGUUUACCCAGCCAAGUUAACAAUACUCUGCAUUGUUUACCUAACGCAGAGUAGGUACUGAAGAACUAUUUGUCGCACGGAUGACUGCAUGACCGGAUGCAUCCCAUUCCAUCAUAGAGUCAGAUGAGGAUUUGCAGAGCCAAGCCCCACCUGGGAGGCAUGUUAAGUCCUUUCCAGUUCUUCUCAAUUAUGGCUCUGCAGUGAGUAUCUUUUGUUCAUAAAUUCUUGACUGCACAUCUUGAUUAUCUCCUCAGGAUAUUUUCCUAGAAGUGGGAUUACUGGAUUGAAGGGGAUGCACAUAUUUAAGAUUCUUGAUUCCGAACCCCUCCAGCAGUAUAAAAAUGAGUCCGCUUCCCAGCAAGCUGGCCCAAACAGGCUAUUAUCAGGCUUAAUUUUUAUUUUUUAUUUUUGUGCCCUCCUAAUAGAACAAAAAUCGCAUCUCGUUUGGUUUGCAUCUCUUUGGGGACUAAUUAGAUCGAGAUUGAACUAGUUUUGAAGAAACACUCUAAGGAGUCCAGAGAAAUCCUGUGUGGGGCAGGAGAUCCAUGAAAGGAGGCACAUCCCGCCCACUGAGGUGAAACCAAAGGGCUUCUAUUGUUUGGUGUGAUUUAACCUUAAGAUGGAAACAUCUGAGCCUUGCUAGAGAGGCUUCCCCGGAACAACGGCUGGGGGUGGGGAGCUGUGACUUAUCAGCUUCCCUAUGUUUAUUUUCAUUUCCUGAUGGAGAGUAAAUCUUAUAAACAAAUGAAAAACCUGUGGACUUAUCUUUAAAGACUACAAGGAAAAGGGGAACUGGGCAAACUAUUGCAACUCAAAGUCGUGGAAAGGCAGGAGGGGGAGUGGGGAAUUUAGAAAGAUAUUUCCAAGAGAUGGCAGAUAGGUCCCUGGGGGCCUGUGGCCAGCCUGGAGAGGGAGAGACCAAGCCAGAGGCUGUGGAAAGCUCUAGAGACUUUGUACUAGAAAGGCUGCUGUUGGUGGCAGAGCUUACAUGGCCAGGGAUCCCGGAGGACCUGGAAGGGGUUUUAAUGGACUUUUGAGAAUCAAAGUGAACUGCCAGGGACAAACAAGAGUGGCGAGGAAAUGGAAGCAGUCAUACCACUCAGGCUGGAAAAUCGCUCUAGGAAUGGCAAGAAGGGCUCUUUCUCACUUGGAUGGUCCCCAGAAAGUCAGCUGCCAUGUCACGAAGUGCCCUGUGAGAAGGACCUGUAAGGAGGGACGGAGGGAGGCCUCUAAAUGACAGCCUUCGAGGAACUGAAUCCUGCUGGUGACCAUGUGAGGGAGCUUGGACUCCGGUCCCCCUGUGUUGAGCCUUCAGAUGAGUUGGCAGCCCCAGCUGGUGGCAUGACUGUAACGUCCUGAAACACCUUCAGCCAGAAAGCAUUCAGCUAAACCACACCUGUAUUUCUGACCCAAAGAAAUUGUGAGAUAAUAAACAUUUCUUCUCUUGAA